UUAGAAAAUCUGAAACAAAGUGUGUGUUGGCAAAACUACUUAAUCUCAGAUGUGUUAACUUGGCCAAAUUAACUGAAACAGAUGGUGAGAAGCUUUUGUUCCUUAAGUCAUCAAUUGCUGAUUGCAUGAUCUUCAUAAUCUUUAAUAUUUUAAGACGCAGUCUCAGAACUCAGGUUUGUGCCCAAAGGAGAGAGAGAAUAAACUUGAACAUUCUGACUUUGAAGUGCUUGAACAUGAAAGACAGAGAAUUGACCAGAAGCAAGCGUCCUUAGAGUGGGGUCGUCAUAUUUGAGAAAUGUGCUACAGGGAUCUAGCACACUGCAUUGCCUCACAGCUAAAUUCCCACUGGAUUGUUGGUCUGAAUCACCGAUUGAAAAAUCAAAUGUCUUCAGGGACCCGGCAGGAUCCCGAAGGACGCCGCUCUAAGCCAGAGGGAGCGGUGUGUGUUGUGGCUGAAGUGGAAAAUACAAGCCCAGUUUAAGGGCAUUCAAACAUGAAUUGUUUUUUUUAAAGCCGUGCGAGUCAAACAAAACAUGUCAGCAGUUCUUAUUAGGCUAACAGGUUGCUGGUUU
rnacentral:lncRNA from 1 species